AUUGAACGCUGGCGGCAGGCCUAACACAUGCAAGUCGAGCGGAGCGGCGGACGGGUGAGUAAUGCAUAGGACUCUGCCUGGUAGUGGGGGAGAACGUCCAGAAACGGGCGCUAAUACCGCAUACUAGCAGCUGAGCCUAGGGGGGCUUAUCUAGUUGGAGGGGUAAGGGCUUACACAGCCGACGAUCCGUAACUGGUCUGAGAGUAGGAUCAGUCACACGGGAGCUGAGACACGGUCCAGCCCCCUACGGGCGGCAGCAGUGGGGAUUAUUGGACAAUGGGCGAAAGCCUGAUCCAUCCAUUCCGCGUGUGUGAAGAAGGUCUUCGGCUUGUAAAGCUCUUUAAGUUGGGAGGCGUUACCAACAGAAUAAGCACCGGCUAACUUCGUGCCAGCAGCCGCGGUAAUUC
rnacentral:rRNA from 1 species